rnacentral:rRNA from 1 species
UACGGGGGGGGCAAGCGUUGUUCGGAAUUACUGGGCGUAAAGGGCUCGUAGGUGGCCAACUAAGUCAGACGUGAAAUCCCUCGGCUUAACCGGGGAACUGCGUCUGAUACUGGAUGGCUUGAGUUUGGGAGAGGGACGCGGAAUUCCAGGUGUAGCGGUGAAAUGCGUAGAUAUCGGGAGGAACACCAGUGGCGAAGGCGAGUCUCUGGGAUGAUGCUGACGCUGAGGCGCGAAAGCCAGGGGAGCAAACGGG